UCAAUGAUUGCUGGAGCUCUGGAAAUAGCAGGUGAGAUUGCAGGCCGGAGUCGCGUCACUGUCCAAGGAACCAAAAUCAACCUCCUCUACUCCUGAGACCACAGUGUGACUGAGAGCCUAGACUACAUGGCUACUUGGAACAUGAACAUGUUGCAGACACAGGAUCUUAUGAAGUCAGCGCAGGCAGCCCUGGAAAAGAAGAGUCCGAAAGACGUGCCCUUCUCCAAGCUUUAAAGGAGAAGAUCCAGGGCUGUUGAAGCUGCGAUGGAACUGAGACAUCAUCAUCCACAUAUCUUUAGUUCUUCUUGCUAAGAGAACGAGAAACUCGGACACAACAGUACAUCCUGACCAUUGGUACUGUGUACACAUCAACAUACACACACGUCUCCAUGCUGGACAUCUCAGGAGCUUUCACAAACAGUGCUAGGAAUAUCCCGGGACAGAGAAACGCACCUUCUAAGAAAAGAAAUGAUCUUUCGAGGCAGCUUCUUCAUCACUACCUGCUCUGUUUGACUCAAAAAUGUAACGACCGGUUUCAAAAAGUCACGAUGUCUUCAGUUCAUGUGAUUUUACUGUUGAAUUUAAACAGG
ensembl:lncRNA